UGGGGAAUUUUGCACAAUGGGGGAAACCCUGAUGCAGCGACGCCGCGUGAUUUAGAAGGCCUUCGGGUUGUAAAAAUCUUUUUUACGGGAUGAAAAUGACAGUACCGUAAGAAUAAGGUCCGGCUAAAUACGUGCCAGCAGCCGCGGUAAUACGUAUGGACCGAGCGUUGUCCGGAAUCAUUGGGCGUAAAGGGUACGUAGGCGGCCUAGUAAGUUAGAAGUUAAAGAAUAUAGCUCAACUAUAUAAAGCUUUUAAAACUGCUAGGCUUGAGAGAUGGAAGGGAAAGUGGAAUUCCUAGUGUAGCGGUGAAAUGCGCAGGUAUUAGGAAGAAUACCGGUGGCGAAGGCGACUUUCUGGUCAUCAUCUGACGCUGAGGUACGAAAGCGUGGGUAGCAAACAGG
rnacentral:rRNA from 1 species